AUUGAACGCUGGCGGCAGGCCUAACACAUGCAAGUCGAACGAGUGGCGGACGGGUGAGUAAUGUCUGGGAAACUGCCCGAUGGAGGGGGAUAACUACUGGAAACGGUAGCUAAUACCGCAUACCAUCGGAUGUGCCCAGAUGGGGUUAGCUAGUAGGUGGGGUAAUGGCUCACCUAGGCGACGAUCCCUAGCUGGUCUGAGAGGAUGACCAGCACAACUGGAAAGUGGACACGGUCAGAACUCCUACGGGAGGCAGCAGGGGGAAAUAUGGGACAAGGGGCGCAAGCCUGAUGAAGCCAGGCCGCGGGUAGGAAGAAGGCCUUCGGGUUGUAAAGUACUUUCAGCGAGGAGGCGUUACUCGCAGAAGAAGCACCGGCUAACUCCGUGCCAGCAGCCGCGGUAAUAC
rnacentral:rRNA from 1 species